rnacentral:rRNA from 1 species
AUUGAACGCUGGCGGCAUGCCUUACACAUGCAAGUCGAACGGUAGAGUAGCAAUACUCGAGAGUGGCGAACGGGUGAGUAACAUAUCGGAACGUGCCCAAUCGUGGGGGAUAACGUAGAGAAAUUUACGCUAAUACCGCAUACGAUCUAAGGAUGAAAGCGGGGGAUCGCAAGACCUCGCGCGAUUGGAGCGGCUGAUAUCAGAUUAGGUUGUUGGUGAGGUAAAAGCUCACCAAGCCGACGAUCUGUAGCUGGUUUGAGAGAACGACCAGCCACACUGGGACUGAGACACGGCCCAGACUCCUACGGGAGGCAGCAGUGGGGAAUUUUUGGGACAAUGGGCGAAAGCCUGAUCCAGCAAUGCCGCGUGCAGGAAGAAGGCCUUC